CUGCUCUGAUACCAAAAUCACAUAAUCAAAUGAGCAAAUUUUCAAAUUAUUAAGCAAUAGGCAAAUUGUUAUGGGUACAUGUAUCGCAUGCCAAAAGAAUCAAUCUUCUUUUCAAGCAAAUGCAUUUAUAAGUAAUUUUCAAGUUGGUUGUAAAUUUUUUAUUUAUCUUCAAACUACCUAUAAUGCAUUUCAUUCCUUUGAAAUUCAUGCUCAUUGAUUCAUAUAUAUGCUUUUGUUCAAGUGUUUUGUCGUCAUCAAAAA
rnacentral:lncRNA from 1 species